rnacentral:rRNA from 1 species
UACGUAGGGUGCGAGCGUUGUCCGGAAUUAUUGGGCGUAAAGGGCUCGUAGGCGGUUUGUCGCGUCGGGAGUGAAAACCAGGUGCUUAACACCUGGCUUGCUUUCGAUACGGGCAGACUAGAGGUAUUCAGGGGAGAACGGAAUUCCUGGUGUAGCGGUGAAAUGCGCAGAUAUCAGGAGGAACACCGGUGGCGAAGGCGGUUCUCUGGGAAUGACCUAACGCUGAGGAGCGAAAGUGUGGGGAGCGAACAGG